GUAGUAUUCCCUCCGUCCCAAAAUUCGUGUCUUACAUUUGUUUAGAUACGGAUGUAUCUAACACUAAAAUGUAACUAGAUACAUAUGUAUUUAGACAAAUUUAAGACAAGAAUUUUGGGACGGAGGGAGUACAAA
rnacentral:pre_miRNA from 1 species